rnacentral:lncRNA from 1 species
AGUGAUCAAAAUUUAAAAGAUCUAGCUGAAGCUGAAAUAGUGGGUUGGUCUACCGCCCGGAUACCAGGGUGGUUCGGGAUCUCUAAACUAGGUUAACUUGGAUUCAAGCAAUAAAAAAAGCAAAGCUUACAUUAGGAUUCCUGAGCCUGUCUAGAGAGAGAAAGAGAAAGAGGAGAAAGAAUCUCCACUCAAGUUCAACCAGAAUUCUGGGUUUGGUCCGUUGAUGGCACAGGGUAUCUUGGAACAACAUGCCUGGCCCAUGAAUUAGGAGAGAGAAGAUGAUUUAUGAACUAUUCCAUAGCUAAAUAAAUGAAUACAUAAAUGAAAGGGAAUAAAAGAAUUAGAAGAAGAGGAAAAAGAUAGAACUGAAGGGAAGAGAGGAGAGGGAGAAGAGAAGAAAGAGAGAAGAGAGAAGAAGGACCGACGGUGGCCGAGCCUUGGUGGCGGGGAUCGAUGGCCAGCUGACAGCAGCCAGCUGCGGCUGCGGUGAUCGAUGAGAAGAGAGAUGCCAAGGACUUGGCUCGAAACAGAGGAGCGGGCUCAGAUUGGCUAGGAACAAAAGAACAAGGGGAAAAGAAGCUCACCAGUGAGCGGCGGAGAUGGAGGUUCUCAGUCAAGGAUAGCUCAGUCCGGCGAGCUAG